rnacentral:rRNA from 1 species
UGCCUUACACAUGCAAGUCGAACGGUAACAGGCCGCAAGGUGCUGACGAGUGGCGAACGGGUGAGUAAUACAUCGGAACGUGCCCGAUCGUGGGGGAUAACGCAGCGAAAGCUGUGCUAAUACCGCAUACGAUCUACGGAUGAAAGCGGGGGAUCGCAAGACCUCGCGCGGACGGAGCGGCCGAUGGCAGAUUAGGUAGUUGGUGGGGUAAAGGCCUACCAAGCCGACGAUCUGUAGCUGGUCUGAGAGGACGACCAGCCACACUGGGACUGAGACACGGCCCAGACUCCUACGGGAGGCAGCAGUGGGGAAUUUUGGACAAUGGGCGCAAGCCUGAUCCAGCCAUGCCGCGUGCAGGAUGAAGGCCUUCGGGUUGUAAACUGCUUUUGUACGGAACGAAAAGGUUUCUUUUAAUACAGGGAACUGAUGACGGUACCGUAAGAAUAAGCACCGGCUAACUACGUGCCAGCAGCCGCGGUAAUACGUAGGGUGCGAGCGUUAAUCGGAAUUACUGGGCGUAAAGCGUGCGCAGGCGGUGAUGUAAGACAGAGGUGAAAUCCCCGGGCUCAACCUGGGAACUGCCUUUGUGACUGCAUCGCUGGAGUGCGGCAGAGGGGGAUGGAAUUCCGCGUGUAGCAGUGAAAUGCGUAGAUAUGCGGAGGAACACCGAUGGCGAAGGCAAUCCCCUGGGCCUGCACUGACGCUCAUGCACGAAAGCGUGGGGAGCAAACA